GGGAAACGAAGUUCGUAACUACUAACUAGGGUUUACGAAAUUGUUCAAAUUGUUAUGGAGGCCUGUGGUUUGCAGUUUCGAAUUGCCAACUACGUCACUAGAACUGAUCGGAAGGAACUGGUAUUAUUAGCACUUUUCGAAUUGCCAAUUCCAUCACGAGAAGAACUGAUCGGAAGGAACUGGUACUAGUAGCGCUGUAAGUAGUCGGGAAGAUUCAAAGAUAACAAUAAGGAAACCGUCACUGCCUAAAAUAGUCCAUCUGGGACAGAUCACUAAGCAGAGGAAGAUCCGAUUCGAAAAAACUAAUGCUAGCAGCACUGUAAGUGGUCGUAUUGAUGGAAACUAAACAAUAUGGCGAUGGGACUUGGUAGAGUGAGAUUCCGGGUUUGUUUGAGGGAUUCAAUUCCUUGGCGGCGUUCGCUUCUCCCACUCUGACAUGGCCUAUUCUUAUUCUGGUGUUUCUCAACCUCACUUCCUCUGUCUUAGUUAACUAGUGUUUUGUCAUUUGGUGAACAACUAUUGUUUCGUUGGCAACCUGAGACAUUCCAAUUGAUGUCUUGCCUGCUCUACCAUCCAAAACUGUUGUUGAAGACAUCUGAUAUUUCGUAAAUGUGAGCCAUAUAUAUUGGACUUGAAGAAUUUCUUCAGUUCCUUGUCAACUAGGAAAAGGCGAAAGGAAGAAGACUAAGAAAGACAAUCAACUUUAACUUACUUCUCCGUGCGAGCAAAGGAUAUUGUCUUCUAAAACUCACCUAUUUUCUUGCUGACAUUUUGGUUACAUCAUUUAAUUUUGACAUAAAAAAAAAAACUCGCCUAUAUAUUUUCAUUGCUCUCAUAGUAUAAAUAUUUGCUGCCGCAGGCCAGUGAGGUGAGAUUUGUUACUGAAUGCUUUACAACACAUACAGUCAGCUCUUAUUAAGAGUUCAGAAACUCUAUGGCCCAUCUGUUCUGACUUCUGAUCCAGAUGAUCGGACCUUGCAUAAAAUUUCAAGUCUGUGGAAUAGGUCUUCAGGCGCUUACGCUUUGGGUAGUUUGCUUAACUCCAUAGGCUUCUCAGAUUGGGGGAGCAUUUGUUCUGGGAAUUGGAUUUCGAUGCUUGAAGAAUACCUGACAAAUGAAGAUGGAUGAGUGGUGGUAGGUCUAUUGACGUAUGAAAUCCCAACAAUUGAUAUUUGACACCAUACCUAGACCGUUCAAUGUUGAAGUCAUGAAUAGCGGCAUCACCAAAAACACAUUCUCUCUUCAAAAUGUAUGUCUGUCCUUCCAAGUUCCAACUUCAUGUAAAGACAAUUAUAUAGGCCCCCAUAAAACUACCUCUCUGUAUUGUGGGUUUCCCUACUUUCUAACAUAUGCCUUUUCUCUUGACUAGAAAGUAUUGUACUGUUAAAAAAUGCCUCAGGUUAACUAGUGUUUCUUCUGGUGGACGAAUUGUUGUUUGAGGGAAUCAAUUCCUUGGCGGUGUUCGCUUCUCCCACUCCGACAUCGCCUCCUCCUAUUCUUGUCUUUCUGAAUCCCACUUCCCCUGUCUUAGUGGAUGGUUCGAAACUUUUGUACACAGGAUUACGAACAGCUCUUUGUGUUUUUCAGUGUACUGUGCAGCUUUGGUAGGGCCUAUGAACUGCUGUUUCUUAUGUUCCAGAUGUACUUAUAUCCAUGAAGGAAGGUGAAGCACUUUUAACUUUUCAAUGAUUAUCAAAGGGGCAUAUAACUUUUGAGUUAGCAAUGUGACCAAGUAUGUGCAUGCAGUUUUAAGUGAUUGUAAAUGAUUAUUUAGGAGCUUCAAUCAUUGAUUUGGUUGGUAUGAGGUAUUUGUUAAUUUCUUUACUAGCUGAGCUAACCAAGAUAAUUUGUUGAUUGUAGCAUUUAUUUGUCAACAUGUUUUCUAGUUAUGUUGACAUCUGAUAUUGUGCAUAUAUGAAUGAGUGUAUGUGUGCUUUCCCUCUCUCAACAUUGCAGCGCUCAGAUCUAAAGGAAGGUAAUAUAGUUUCCCAUGAAGCCAAAGCAGUGCCAAUCCAUUUAAGCGCAAGAUACUACCUAACGUUGGAGGACAUAGGCUGAGCAGUGUCUUUCUGGGUUUAUCUUGAAUAAGGCUCAGUAGUAAGACCAAAACCAAAGGGGAAGAGUGGUUCAUAGUGAGCAUCACCAACAUUCAUUGGUAGCUGAUCAACUGUUUUAAACCAUGUCCGGGCAAGCUUUCCGGUGAAUCCAUAGUCCCCGAACAGAACAUCAGC